UUGAACGCUGGCGGAAUGCUUUACACAUGCAAGUCGAGCGGCAGCGCGGGGGCAACCCUGGCGGCGAGCGGCGAACGGGUGAGUAACAUAUCGGAACGUACCCAGUAGUGGGGGAUAACUAUCCGAAAGGAUAGCUAAUACCGCAUACGCCCUGAGGGGGAAAGUGGGGGAUCGCAAGACCUCACGUUAUUGGAGCGGCCGAUAUCGGAUUAGCUAGUUGGUGGGGUAAAGGCUCACCAAGGCGACGAUCCGUAGCGGGUCUGAGAGGACGGCCCGCCACACUGGAACUGAGACACGGUCCAGACUCCUACGGGAGGCAGCAGUGGGGAAUUUUGGACAAUGGGGGCAACCCUGAUCCAGCCAUUCCGCGUGAGUGAAGAAGGCCUUCGGGUUGUAAAGCUCUUUCAGACGGAAAGAAAUCGGGCGCGUGAAUAGCGUGCCUGGAUGACGGUACUGUCAGAAGAAGCACCGGCUAACUACGU
rnacentral:rRNA from 1 species